GAUGAACGCUGGCGGCGUGCCUAAUACAUACAAGUCGAGCGAACAGAUGAGGAGCUUGCUCCUCUGACGUUAGCGGCGGACGGGUGAGUAACACGUGGAUAACCUACCUAUAAGACUGGGAUAACUUCGGGAAACCGGAGCUAAUACCGGAUAAUAUAUUGAACCGCAUGGUUCAAUAGUGAAAGACGGUUUUGCUGUCACUUAUAGAUGGAUCCGCGCCGCAUUAGCUAGUUGGUAAGGUAACGGCUUACCAAGGCAACGAUGCGUAGCCGACCUGAGAGGGUGAUCGGCCACACUGGAACUGAGACACGGUCCAGACUCCUACGGGAGGCAGCAGUAGGGAAUCUUCCGCAAUGGGCGAAAGCUUGACGGAGCAACGCCGCGUGAUUGAUGAAGGUCUUCGGAUCGUAAAACUCUGUUAUUAGGGAAGAACAAAUGUGUAAGUAACUAUGCACGUCUUGACGGUACCUAAUCAGAAAGCCACGGCUAACUACGUG
rnacentral:rRNA from 1 species